UUUUUUUUUUUUUGGCUGUACUCGUGGCAUGGGGAAGUUCCUGGGCCAGGGAUCGAACCUGUGCCACUGUAGUAACCAGAGCCACUGCAGGGACAGCACCAGAUCCUUAACCCACUGAGCACAAGGGAACUCGUAGAUGUGUUUUACUACCAGAUUUUUUUUUCCUUUUUAGGUCCACACCGUGGCAUACGGAAGUUUCUGGGCUAGGGGUUGAAUAGGAGCUGUAAUCCUCAAGGAUCCUAACUAGUCAAGUUCAUUACCAAUGAGCCACAGGGGGAGCUCCUAUUACCAGAUAUUUAAACUGCCUUUAUCAGGCCUAUGACUAAUUACGUAGGACAAAAAUAGCCUUGCUGAACAAAGGGAAACAGGAUUUAUUAAUAUACACGAUGCUGUUCCCUCCUUACAAAGUCUGGCGGUUAAAUGAACCUUGACCUGGCUUUGCGUCCCAUUAGUAAUAAGCCGUGUGACUUGGCCAGAUUUUUAACUGUUUUGGGGUCUCAGUUUUCUUAUCCAUAAAAUGAGGGUAAUAAUAGUUCCUUUCUCCUAACCUGUGUAAAAUGAAAUCAUCUAUGUCCACAUAGUUUGCAUUGUGCCCGGCUUGUUGUAAUUGCUCAAUAAAAAAGUAAUGAUUUCCAUGGAUCUGUUUUUCCUUUUUCUGUCUCUUUAGGGCUGUACCUGAAGCAUGUGGAAGUUCCUGGGCUAGGGGGUCAAAUCAGAGCUGCAGCUGCUGGCCUAUGUCUCAGCCGCAGCAGCACGGGAUCCAAGCCUCGACCGCAACCUACACCACCGCUCAUGGCAAUGCAAGAUCCUUAACCCACUGAGCGGGAUCAGGGAUCGAACCUGCAUCCUCGUUCUUAAUCCACUGAGCCACAACGAAGACUCCCAUGACUAUGUUUUUCUAAUUGUGAUUUUUGACAAAUAAGAGGGCCCUGGCCCCAUCCCCUGCCUCCUUCCCUGAAGAGGGUAAGCAGGAGGGAGGGGGAGGAGGGAAGAAAUUGAACUUGAACUUGAGGCAGCCCACACAGGGAGACCCAGAGGGACAGGGGUUGUGUCAAGGUAUGAGGACUGCAUCUCAUUCGUCUGUGUCCCCAGGAGACACCUGCCCUCCGCCCUGGACAGAGUGCCUCACCCUGACAGGCCGAGCCACCAGGGACCCACCGGCUCCCUUCCCUGCACAGGCGAGCCCACCUUGCUGCACAUGCAGCAGAGCCACUCUGGAGCUUCUUUGGAGGAAGGGAGUGGGUGCUGGGUGAGUCUAGAUCUUUCUGGUCCCAGAUGAGUUCCUUCCUGGGAAAGUCACUUACCCUCUGGGCCUCAUCAAACUCCUCUGUGACACAGUUGUUGGAUCAGAUCAGAAAUCCUGAACUCGGAGGCCUCCAGGGGCCCGGCAGGCAGUGCGAGGGAGGGGGCGAUGCUUGGGGAGGGGGACUGUGGCCAGUUAAGGCCCCCGUGCCUUGUCCAAAGGGGCAGGUGGAACUGGAGCUCUAACCAACUCUUGCCAUGUGAGACAUCCUCUUUUAUUAUCUAUUUAUUUAUGAAAGAGAAAUGAGAAAUUUCAUUAUUAUUUUGCCCGUGCCCGCGGAAUGCGGAAGUGCCCAGGCCAGGGAUCAUACCCAUGCCCACAGCAGCAACCCGGUGCCCCAGUGGUGACAAAGAGAGAUCAUUCACUGCUAGGCCACUUUUUAAAUUUUUUUUAACUUAAAUUGUUUCAUUUUUAAAGGUUUUACUGAAGUAUAGUUGUUUACAAACUCCAUGUUUCUUAAACAUUGGCAAUAAAUUCAAUUGGGAAAAAAAAAACAACAACCCUCUACAAGGCUUGGCAAGGCCCAGGAGCUGCCCGCGAGAGCCCUCUGGGUUAGCUGGGUUUUCCGUUCCCUCCUGUUCUCCGUCCCAUUCGCCGACUGUUUGGUGGGUCUGUGGUUCCUGCGGGUGGGGGGCAGGUGGAUUCAGGAUGAAACUCCAGAGACGGUGAUUUCUGCCUCCUGUCCUUGGGCAUCUUCCCGUGCUGUCCUGUUGUUACUCCACAUUCCCAGGAGGCCACAGGCUGCUCCCCAUGAACCUUCCGCGUGCUGAGCGCUAAGGGUCCAGUGUCAGCUUGUGCUGCUGUCGUCAUAGUACCCAGGUGAGGUCCUCAGGGAUGGAGCAUCUUGGUCCAGCCCUGAAGGAGUUUAGAGCUGGGCCAAGUUUUGUUUUUUGUUUUUUGUUUUUCCUUUUACAGCCACACCUGUGACAUAUGGAAGUUCCCAGGCUAGGGGUUGAAUCGGAGCUGCAGUUGCCAGUCUACACCACAGCCAUGGCAAUGCUGGAUCUGAGCGGCUUCUGCUACCUACAAUGCAGCUUAUGGCAAUGCCAGGUCCUUAACCCACUGAGCGAGGCCAGGAAUCGAACCCACAUCCCCAUGGAUACUAGUUGGGAUCUUAACCCACUGAGCCACAGUGGGAACUCCCAAGGCCGGGCCAGGUCACAUGGAGACAAGAGCCCGGUGGGUUUUUUAACAAAAAAAGAAAAGAAAAUCUGGCUGCUCCUGAGAGUCGGGAGGACAAGGGCUGACUUAUCUCUUGACGCAACCUCCGAAGCACCUAGCACACACUGGCCCGUGGCAGGAGAGAGUCACAGUGACCAGAGUCCCUCCAGGGACAGAGGCAGGACUUGAAGCUGGGAAGGCUGAGCCCAGAUUUCUGAGCUGGCGGGACAAGACUGAAUGAAAGCAGAUCAGGAUCAAAGAGGGUGGGAUGCGCCUGAGAGUUUGCCUUGACUGUCAAUUCGAUUUUUUUUAGAGAAAUUUUUUUUUUUUUUUGGCUUUUUAGGGCCGCACCUGUGGCAUAUGGAGGUUCCCAGGCUAGGGGUCUAAUCGGACUACAGCUGCCAGCCUACAUCACAGCCACAGCCACAUCAGAUGCAAGCCACAUCUGCCACCUGCACCACAGUUCGUGGCAACGCUGGGUCCUUAACCCACUGAGCGAGGCCAGGGAUCAAACCCGCAUCCUCAUAGAGACAAUGUCAGGUCCUUAACCCACUGAGCCACACAGGGAACUUCUUUAACCAUUUUUAAGUGUAUCUUUUGGUGGCAUUAAGUCCAUUCACGUUAUGGGGCAACCAUCACCACCAUCCAUUUCCAGAAUAUUUUUAUCAUCACAAACUGGUAACCUGGUACGCAUCGAAUAAUAUACCAAUGAGAUUGGAUGGCAUCAUGGCUGGGUCAGUGUCGGGGGUCUGGCCAGGUGAAAUGGGCUUCUGUGGGAGGUGGUGGGUGUCCCAUCACUGGAGGUGAGCAAGCCACAACUGGGUGUCAGAGACAGGGAUUGGCUGGAUGGCAGGAGCCUAUAACGCCGUACUCAUUUU
rnacentral:lncRNA from 1 species